rnacentral:rRNA from 1 species
UUUUUCCUACGGGGGGCAGCAGUGAGGAAUAUUGGUCAAUGGUCGGGAGACUGAACCAGCCAAGCCGCGUGAGGGAUGAAGGUACAGAGUAUCGUAAACCUCUUUUGUCAGGGAACAAAGGCGGGGACGUGUCCCCGGAUGAGUGUACCUGAAGAAAAAGCAUCGGCUAACUCCGUGCCAGCAGGCGCGGUAAUACGGAGGGGGCGAGCGUUAUCCGGGUUUAUUGGGUUUAAAGGGGGGGCAGGCGGUCUGUUAAGGCAGCGGUCAAAG